UACGUAGGGGGCAAGCGUUGUCCGGAUUUAUUGGGCGUAAAGAGCGUGUAGGCGGCCUGAAAGGUCAGCUGUGAAAACUCGAGGCUCAACCUCGAGACGUCGGUUGAAACCAUCUGGCUAGAGUCCGGAAGAGGAGUGUGGAAUUCCCGGUGUAGCGGUGAAAUGCGCAGAUAUCGGGAAGAACACCCGUGGCGAAGGCGGCACUCUGGGACGUGACUGACGCUGAGACGCGAAAGCCAGGGGAGCGAACGGG
rnacentral:rRNA from 1 species